rnacentral:rRNA from 1 species
CCAACCGGGAUUGCCUUAGUAACGGCGAGUGAAGCGGCAAAAGCUCAAAUUUGAAAUCUGGUACCUUCGGUGCCCGAGUUGUAAUUUGGAGAGGGCAACUUUGGGGCCGUUCCUUGUCUAUGUUCCUUGGAACAGGACGUCAUAGAGGGUGAGAAUCCCGUGUGGCGAGGAGUGCGGUUCUUUGUAAAGUGCCUUCGAAGAGUCGAGUUGUUUGGGAAUGCAGCUCUAAGUGGGUGGUAAAUUCCAUCUAAAGCUAAAUAUUGGCGAGAGACCGAUAGCGAACAAGUACAGUGAUGGAAAGAUGAAAAGAACUUUGAAAAGAGAGUGAAAAAGUACGUGAAAUUGUUGAAAGGGAAGGGCAUUUGAUCAGACAUGGUGUUUUGUGCCCUCUGCUCCUUGUGGGUAGGGGAAUCUCGCAUUUCACUGGGCCAGCAUCAGUUUUGGUGGCAGGAUAAAUCCAUAGGAAUGUAGCUUGCCUCGGUAAGUAUUAUAGCCUGUGGGAAUACUGCCAGCUGGGACUGAGGACUGCGACGUAAGUCAAGGAUGCUGGCAUAAUGGUUAUAUGCCGCCCGUCUUGAAACACGGACCUCCUGUGUGAAUGGAAUCCGCUA